UACGUAGGGUCCAAGCGUUAUCCGGAAUCACUGGGCGUAAAGCGUGCGUAGGUGGCGUGUUAAGUGUGAUGUUAAAUCGUGUGGCUCAGCCAUAUCGAUGUGUCGCAUACUGGCAUGCUAGAGGGAAGCAGAGGCAAGUGGAAUUUGUAGUGUAGCAGUGAAAUGCGUAGAUAUUACAAGGAACACCAAUGGCGAAGGCAGCUUGCUGGGCUUCUUCUGACACUGAGGUACGAAAGCGUGGGGAGCGAACAGG
rnacentral:rRNA from 1 species